AAGUAUACCAUGAAUAAGCAUCGGCUAACUCCGUGCCAGCAGCCGCGGUAAUACGGAGGAUGCAGGCGUUAUCCGGAUUUAUUAGGUUUAAAGGGUGUCUAGGCUGCCACAUAAGUCAGAGGUGAAAGUCGGUUGCUCAACAAUCGAAUUGCCUUUGAAACUGUGUGGCUCGAAUAUAGAUGAGGUAGGCGGAAUGUGUAGUGUAGCGGUGAAAUGCAUAGAUAUUACACAGAACACCAAUUGGCGAAGGCAGCUUACCAAACUAUUAUUGACGCUGAAGCACGAAAGCGUGGGUAGCGAACAGGAUUAGAUACCCUGGUAGUCCACGCCGUAAACUAUGCUCACUCGCUGUUGGCAAUACAUGGUCAGCGGCUAAGGGAAACCGAUAAGUGAGCCACCUGGGGAGUACGAUCGCAAGAUUGAAACUCAAAGGAAUUGACGGGGGCCCGCACAAGCGGAGGAACAUGUGGUUUAAUUCGAUGAUACGCGAGGAACCUUACCUGGGCUUAAAUGUAGAGUGCAUUACUUAGAAAUAGGUAUUUCCUUCGGGACUCUUUACAAGGUGCUGCAUGGUUGUCGUCAGCUCGUGCCGUGAGGUGUCGGGUUAAGUCCCAUAACGAGCGCAACCCCUAUUGUUAGUUACCAGCGCGUAAAGGCGGGGACUCUAGCGAAACUGCCGGUGUAAACCGCGAGGAAGGUGGGGAUGACGUCAAAUCAGCACGGCCCUUAUGUCCAGGGCUACACACGUGUUACAAUGGCCGGUACAGUGGGCAGC
rnacentral:rRNA from 1 species